UACAGAGGUCUCAAGCGUUGUUCGGAUUCAUUGGGCGUAAAGGGUGCGUAGGUGGCGGGGUAAGUCUGGUGUGAAAUCUCGGGGCUCAACCCCGAAACUGCACUGGAUACUGCCUUGCUCGAGUACUGGAGAGGAGAUUGGGAUUUACGGUGUAGCAGUGAAAUGCGUAGAUAUCGUAAGGAAGACCAGUGGCGAAGGCGAAUCUCUGGACAGUUACUGACACUGAGGCACGAAGGCCAGGGGAGCAAACGGG
rnacentral:rRNA from 1 species